AAGAUUAAUUAAUUAGACUUCUAAUCUAAAAUAAAUGAUUAUAUCAUUUAAUCUUU
rnacentral:tRNA from 1 species